rnacentral:tRNA from 1 species
GCCAGUAUGGUGUAGUGGUUUGAGUGCUGGACUACAACUCUAGAGACCAGGGUUCAAUUCCCGCUCAGCCU